rnacentral:rRNA from 1 species
UACGUAGGGUCCAAGCGUUGUCCGGAUUUAUUGGGCGUAAAGAGCUCGUAGGCGGUUCGGUAAGUCGGAUGUGAAAACUCAGGGCUCAACCCCCGAGACGCCAUCCGAUACUGCUGUGACUUGAAUCUGGUAGGGGAGCACGGAAUUCCUGGUGUAGCGGUGAAAUGCGCAGAUAUCAGGAGGAACACCGGCGGCGAAGGCGGCUACCUGGACAGAAACUGACGCUGAGGCGCGAAAGCAUGGGGAGCGAACAGG